ensembl:lncRNA SH3BP5-AS1 SH3BP5 antisense RNA 1
GGACUGGGUUUCCGAGUCAUCUUCAGACACAAAGUUGCUACAGCUGUCAUCUUCAAAGGCCUCCGAGGCCACUAAGUUGAGAGAGAACACCAGUCACAUGGGUUCUGUCACCUCCUCAAACACCACAAGUGCUUGCUGCUGGCAGGCAGCUAGACACAGCAUGGGGGACUAAAGAGUCUCUACCUCUGUGAGUGCCUAAUGAAGGAAUGUGACUUCCCAAGCCUGAAUGACCAGCCUCUAAAGCAGCUGGAAGGGAAGCAGCUGGCAGCAGGAUCCCAUGGAUAUUAAGCGCCCUUCCAAUAACCUUAUAACCCUGCCAAGAAAUCAGUGUCACCAGACACCACCUAAAAAUGGAAGAUUAAUUCAGCCACAAAUUAGGACCUUUACUCCACCUCAGUCCCCCAAAUACAUCCUCAUGUGCACAGGAAGAGGUUCUAGUCCUCUGUAACAUAUCCCAAACAAAGCCAGCUGGACUCAGGCUUCUUUCUUAGGGCAAUAGAAGCAAGAGCUGCUAGAAGAAACAGGCCAGCAUGGAACAUCUGUUGGGACCUUUGUUAUCUCCAGUACUUAAAUAUUUGUUGAAGGAAUUAACUCCUGAGGAAGGAGCUUGGGAAAGAGCCGACAGGGAUUAUUGCACAGGACUUCUCAGCCUUGAAUGUUCAAAUGUAUACUUUGACUCUCAAAGAGGAGUGAAGGUGUAACAUUUUCCCAAUUUAUUUGACCACAGAAUCCUGACUUUGAGGAACACUUAGUACCUUCUUAAUGAACACAGUGUUCCAUAAAACAUGGGAACCCACCAGAAAUAGCCCUCAGGCCUGCCCAACUCUGAGACCUUUCACUGAUGGCCAGAGAAAGUGAGGACCUUGGGAAACAAAUCACACAGUCUGAUAUCUCCCCACAUACCCAGUGGAGCCCCUGACUUACCAGAAAUGGCAUCAGGCUCAGGUUUGCUCCCUGGCAGAUCCUCCACAGAUGUGCUGCUGCCCUCAGCACCAACACCGCAUCCCCGAGGCCCCAUGGCACUGGAGCGCCGCCGCUCGUGGAUCUCAUCUGAGAUCAUCUCCAGGUUCUUCAGGGCCAUCUUGUACUCGCCUUUUGCCAGGGUCAGUUUGGCCUGCAGGUCAUCCACAGUCUUUUUCAGUUGCUGAUCAAGAGAACAGGAGACUAAGUGAAGACUACCCUGCUAGCCUUAAGAUGCUUUCUGAAUGACAGGUUCAAGUACAUUUUCUGCCCAUCAUUCUACUUCAAGGAAUUUUCCAAGACAUGACUGAAGACCUAAUUACCAUUGUAACUGCUAUUCAUUCACCAGACAAAAUCAGCCACCACCAUCCCCAGAUCCCAUCCAGGUGACAACCUCUAAUAUCCAAAAACUCUCACUGGUGGAACAAACCCCAUCAGGGAAGCAAAAAUGGGCAUCAGACACACCAAAGUCCCACAGUCUAGACAUCUGGUUCCCAGUACAGUGGUUCUCAAAGUUGAGCUUGCAUCAAAAUCCCCUUGGGUGUUAAGACUCAGCUCACUAGACUCCAACCUCAGAGUUUCUAAUUCAGUCGGUCUAGAGUGGGACCUGGUCUAUCAGGUCUCCAGGUGAUGCUGAUGCUGCUGGUCCUAAGAGCAUGCUGUGAGAACCACUGGCCUAGUACAACAGAGAAGGUGACUGAAUGGCAGUUACAGAGGUUCAGAGACCACUGAAGACCCAACCGAGACAAUUUUGAGGUCUGAAAACUCAGUAAAGCCUGUCUCUCCACUUUCCCCUUAUAGCAAGUGGCCCAUGUGAUACUCUGCUACCCCAGAAAAGUGAAGCUUUGAGUGCAGAAAAAUCUCAUCAGUGACGAAGCCCAAAGCUACACAUACCUCGAGCUGCACAUAGUACUUUGCCUUGAGUUCAAAAUAAGGCCUGCAGAAGACAGGAAGGAAAGCCAUCAGAGUAAUAUAAUACAGUGACCACAGUCAACUCCACAAGAUGAACAAGAGGCAUCAGCUACCACUGGCCAGGUCGUCCUUCCAAUAUUUAGUAAACUCUUAACAAGGCCGUGACAUGUCAGUGAUGCUCCUAGCUCUGGAGACUGACAGACACCAGAUGGAACGACUGGGCUCACCCAGGGCUAUAUUAACAGGAGGCCCAUCUCAAGACACGGGGAACCCACACACACAUAUCUUGGGGACUCUGCAACUUAGCUCAUGUUCCUCCUCUGUGGGAAGGCUGUUCAGAGCCUCACAGGUUAUACCCAGCAGUAAGGGUGGCCUGGAUCUGCUCUCCUAAUGAAGUUGGCUCCCCAGGGAUGAAGAGCAGCUGAGGCUGGAGAAGGGGCUGCUUAAACCUCCUCCUCUACUGAAGUCAACUGGGGAAGAGAGAGAAGCACCACUCCUCCCUCACAGCACAGCAAGGCCACCACUAGGAGGGGGUCUCAGGUUGGUCCUCCCAAACCUUGUCCAAAGACUGGAGUUAUUAGUUGGCUGACUCAGCCACAUAAUGGGCCCAAGAAAUGCCAGCGUCCUAGCAGUUCCCUUGGUUCUGGGUCAGCUGAAAGAGCUUGGCUCUUUUUUAGGAACUUUGGUGCCUGAACAUUAAGAGUAGAUCACUGCUUUAUUCUUGAGCUGUUCACCCUCCAUGAAGCUCUCAAGUCCUGCAUCCUGAGGAUCCAGAUGGAUGACAAGGACACAGGACUGCCAUUGAGAAAUGAAGAUGAACUGUGUCACAGAUGCAGUGGAUUACUGACUGCCCUUGUAAUAGUCCAUUUUGCAUCUGUUGGUAAUUCAUUGAGGCACUCUUGGUUUUCUAUGAGUUUGUAUUUUUUGAAUUCAAGAAUUGUAACAUCACUGUUAGAUCCCUCCUUAUUUAAUGAGAGAAAUAAAAUAUUUGACACGAGAAAAUUUUAUAUUUGUAUCCCAAUUA